rnacentral:rRNA from 1 species
UAGGGAAUCUUCCACAAUGGGCGGCAAGCCUGAUGGAGCAACACCGCGUGAGUGAAGAAGGGUUUCGGCUCGUAAAGCUCUGUUGUUAAAGAAGAACACGUAUGAGAGUAACUGUUCAUACGUUGACGGUAUUUAACCAGAAAGUCACGGCUAACUACGUGCCNG